AUUUAUAUAGUUUAAAAAAAACAAUACAUUUUCAUUGUAUAAAUAAUAUAAAUAUAUUUAUAAAUA
rnacentral:tRNA from 1 species